UGACAUCUCUUAUGCAGCUCUGGUGCUUGAGGUGAAUUGGUUCGACUUCCAGAAGAGAAGNNCGCCUGCCAGCCUGACCUGCUUUGACCCCGCAGACUGUCCCUGUCCCCUCUGAACAAAAGGAUGGCUGUUGCACAGCAGCCCUAUGGUUUGACACAGUUGCUGCAGGAAGCAGACUUAGGGAAGGAGCGGAGGGACACAAGGGUACAAGGUGUCGGACCAAAAUUAGGGGAUCUUCUAAAUCAGAAUAAAACACGUUCUCCACUCAAGUCAGAAGAACUGUCCAUUCAAAGCCUACAGUGCCAACCUAUGACAAGAUUGCAGGAUGGCCUGUUAGGAAGCCCACAAUGACUUUCCCAUUCACUAUAAGUUACCCACAGAUGAAAGAAUUUCAUAAUGUCACAAUGAAUUUGGUUGCCGACACAGAGAUCCUAG
ensembl:processed_transcript